GGGCCCUUAGCUCAGUCGGUUAGAGCUGCGGACUCAUAAUCCGUAGGUCGCUGGUUCAAGUCCAGCAGGGCCCA
rnacentral:tRNA from 1 species